UUUUAUUUUUAUUAUUCUUUAUACUUGGCAUAUGGAGGAGAGUCCCACAAUGGGGCAGGCCAGGCUUAGGUACCCCAGGGGGAAUUCAGACACACCUACACAGUGCACCCCAAGCCAGCUCCUCCUUUCUCCUGACAUACAGUGCCCUCCUUCUCACUGAAGUGUAUGAACAGGACUCCCCCUCAGAGCUGAGCCAGACCCUGGAUUCUCAAGGGGUUGGCUGAUUCCCUUGGGAUGCAGGUAUCCGGGCUGAAAACCGGAUUUUAUGAGCUGAGUAAGAUGACAAUGUGAGAAAUGGCGAUUUUCCCUUAGGCAGAGAUCUGAUUUGCAGAUCCGUGCGUACCCACAAUGCUUGUGCCUGCAGCUGCUUUGAACUUUGCUGAAAAGAUUUUUCUUAGCUUGAAAUCAUUAAAAUAUGUUUAAACGGCA